GACGAACGCUGGCGGCGUGCUUAACACAUGCAAGUCGAACGGAAAGGCCCUGCUUUUGUGGGGUGCUCGAGUGGCGAACGGGUGAGUAACACGUGAGUAACCUGCCCUUGACUUUGGGAUAACUUCAGGAAACUGGGGCUAAUACCGGAUAGGAGCUCCUGCUGCAUGGUGGGGGUUGGAAAGUUUCGGCGGUUGGGGAUGGACUCGCGGCUUAUCAGCUUGUUGGUGGGGUAGUGGCUUACCAAGGCUUUGACGGGUAGCCGGCCUGAGAGGGUGACCGGCCACAUUGGGCCGGAGAUACGGCCCCGACCCCUACGGGGGGCAGCGGGGGGGAAUUUUGCACAAGGGGCGGAAGCCUGAUGCAGCAACGCCGCGGGCGGGAUGACGGCCUUCGGGUUGUAAACCGCUUUCGCCUGUGACGAAGCGGGAGUGGCGGUAAUGGGUAAAGAAGCACCGGCUAACUACGU
rnacentral:rRNA from 1 species